CAACUCCGGUUGAUCCUGCCGGACCCUACUGCUAUCGGGGUGGGACUAAAACAUGCUAGUCGAGCGUCUCCUAGCCAUGGUGGAGGCGCGGCGUACAGCUCAGUAACACGUGGCUAACCUACCCUUGGGACGGGAACACCCCCGGGAAACCACGCACAGACCUUGACCACAUAAACACAAAUUCUCAAAAAAUCCAAAAACCCCAUAACAUAAACAAACACUUCACUACACCGCCUUGCCGAUUUCUAAGCUGGCAAAGGCUAUCUCAAACUAACCAAAACCUACACGCAACUUUCUAAGAAUAGAAACUUAAGGCUCUGGCGUAGCCCAAAACUGGGGUUAAUUCCCGAUGGGUGAGGAGGCCUGGAAUGGUUCUUCACUGAAAGGGCGCUAGAGGCAUGCUCUCUAACGUUGCCCAAGGAUGGGGCCGCGGCCGAUCAGGUUGUUGGUGAGGUAACGGCUUACCAAGCCUAUAACCGGUACGGGCCGUGAGAGCGGAAGCCCGGAGAUGGGCACUGAGAUAAGGGCCCAGGCCCUACGGGGCGCAGCAGUUGCGAAAACUCCGCAAUGCACGAAAGUGUGACGGGGCUACCCCGAGUGCCGUCCGC
rnacentral:rRNA from 1 species